rnacentral:rRNA from 1 species
AUCAUUACCGAGUGAGGGCCCUCUGGGUCCAACCUCCCACCCGUGUUUAUUUUACCUUGUUGCUUCGGCGGGCCCGCCUUAACUGGCCGCCGGGGGGCUUACGCCCCCGGGCCCGCGCCCGCCGAAGACACCCUCGAACUCUGUCUGAAGAUUGUAGUCUGAGUGAAAAUAUAAAUUAUUUAAAACUUUCAACAACGGAUCUCUUGGUUCCGGCAUCGGUGAAGAACGCAUCGAAAUGCGAUACGUAAUGUGAAUUGCAAAUUCAGUGAAUCAUCGAGUCUUUGAACGCACAUUGCGCCCCCUGGUAUUCCGGGGGGCAUGCCUGUCCGAGCGUCAUUGCUGCCCUCAAGCACGGCUUGUGUGUUGGGCCCCGUCCUCCGAUCCCGGGGGACGGGCCCGAAAGGCAGCGGCGGCACCGCGUCCGGUCCUCGAGCGUAUGGGGCUUUGUCACCCGCUCUGUAGGCCCGGCCGGCGCUUGCCGAUCAACCCAAAUUUUUAUCCAGGUUGACCUCGGAUCAGGUAGGGAUACCCGCUGAACUUAAGCAUAUCAAUAAGCGGAGGA